AAUCAUCAACUGCACAGGAUAUAAAAGCUCAACAAGCUUAAGUAACAAGUCAGUCAAGAACUGGAGGACAGAUUUCUUCAUAUGCAUGAUGAUCACAUCUUACUCAAGCAGCAUACAAAUGAGCAAGAGGAGAAAACUAAAAGCCUUCCUCGCCAUAACCCUUUUAACUAGAAGUUUGGAAUGAAUUUGCAGUGGAAGAACGUUGAAAAAGCUCCACGUAAACAAAAAACCUGCUUACAGUGUUUUCCAAAAAUAUCUUUAAAGCCAUCUCAGACUGCAUUUGUGGAAACAGGCAGAGGGCAAGUGACCUUGAGAAGUUUGGUGGUGAUAUCUAUUUUUCUUGCUUGGACUUCCAGUUUUGAAUAUGAAUGGAUGCUGAAGGUUGAAGAUCAGAGCCUAAAGAACGUAAAGAACAACCAUGAUGCUUCAUUAGCAAAAGACGAUGAACUGAAUGAACAGCUUGAAGAGGAAAGAAUAAACAGUCCAGAAAAGGAGAAUGAACUCUUGAAGAAAAGCUAUGAUAAACUGUGUAAGUGCUCAGUGAUACCCCAGAUGAGCAGGAACUUGAAUGUGAAGAUACUGAUUUUGCCGAAUCUGUUUGAAAAAAGAAGCAAAGAAAUGCCACUGAACAAGACAUUGAUGGUGAGUUUUAGAGACCACUUUCUUGUAAACUUUUAUAGCUUAAAAACUAUUUGUCAAAUUUCUCUUUUUUUCUACAAGAUUUACUGUGAAAGUAGUUGUUUGACAUUGUGUCAAAAAGAAAUUCUUUAA
rnacentral:lncRNA from 1 species